AGGGAUUUACUAGUGCCACAGCUGAUGGACAUUUAAUGAAUGAAUUCAACAAUAACACAGAUGAUUGAUCUUCAAUUAGACAGUUUUAAUUGACACAAUGUAUCUACACAGUGAAAAGCAUUCAUUAUUUCCCCACUCCAGAAGUCUGCUCUACGUCUGCUCCCGUGAACUGCUAGCAUUAUAUGUGAGUUAAACUCUGUUAAACUCAGAGGAGUUGAUUUGGACACAGCGAGUUUGGGGGGUACCAAAGGGCAUCACAGUAGAGUCCUCUAGAAGUGUUGAUAAUAGAGUCCUCUAGAUGUGUUGUAAUAAUAGAGUCCUCUAGAAGUGUUAAUAGUAGAGUCCUCUAGAUGUGUUGAUAAUAGAGUCCUCUAGAAGUGUUAAUAGUAGAGUCCUCUAGAAGUGUUGAUAAUAGAGUCCUCUAGAAGUAUUAAUAUUAGGUUCUCUAGAAGUGUUGAUAAUAGAGUCCUCUAGAAGUGUUAAUAAUAGAAUCCUCUAGACCUGUUGUAAUAUUAGAGUCCUCUAGACCUGUUGAUAAUAGAGUCCCUGAGUGAUAAUUAGUCCUCUAGAAGUUUAUAUAGAGUCCUCUAGAAGUGUUGUAAUGAGUCCUCUAUACGUGUUGAUAAUAGCGUCCUCUAGAUGUGUCAUAUAGAGUCCUCUAGAAGUGUUGAUAAUAUAGUCCUCUAGAAGUGUUGAUAAUAGAGUCCUCUAGAAGUGUUAAAAUGAGUCCUCUAGAAGUGUGAUAAUAGAGUCCUCUAGAAAGUGUUGAUAUAUGUCCUCUAGAAGUGUGAUAAUAGAGUCCUCUAGAAGUGUUGAUAAUGGUCCUCUAGAAGUAUUAAUAAUAGAGUCUCUAGAAGUGUUGAUAACAGAGCCUUUAGAAGUGUUGAUAAUAGAGUCCUCUAGAUGUGUCAAUAAAAUAGUCCUCUAG
rnacentral:lncRNA from 1 species